UACGAAGGGGGCUAGCGUUGUUCGGAAUUACUGGGCGUAAAGCGUGCGCAGGCGGCCAUCCAAGUCAGUGGUGAAAGCCCGGAGCUCAACUCCGGAAUUGCCAUUGAAACUGUUUGGCUCGAGUACGAGAGAGGUGAGUGGAAUUCCCAGUGUAGAGGUGAAAUUCGUAGAUAUUCGCAAGAACACCAGUGGCGAAGGCGGCUCACUGGCCCGGUACUGACGCUGAGGUGCGAAAGCGUGGGGAGCAAACAGG
rnacentral:rRNA from 1 species